rnacentral:rRNA from 1 species
UAUUACACAGGCUCGGCCUUACAACAACAAACAAAGUUUGACCUCAAAUCAGGUAGGACUACCCGCUGAACUUAAGCAUAUCAAUAAGCGGAGGAAAAGAAACCAACAGGGAUUGCCUUAGUAACGGCGAGUGAAGCGGCAAAAGCUCAAAUUUGAAAUCUAGCACUUUCAGUGUUCGAGUUGUAAUUUGAAGAAGGUAACUUUGGAAUUGGCUCUUGUCUAUGUUCCUUGGAACAGGACGUCACAGAGGGUGAGAAUCCCGUGCGAUGAGAUGUCCAAUUCUAUGUAAAGUGCUUUCGAAGAGUCGAGUUGUUUGGGAAUGCAGCUCUAAGUGGGUGGUAAAUUCCAUCUAAAGCUAAAUAUUGGCGAGAGACCGAUAGCGAACAAGUACAGUGAUGGAAAGAUGAAAAGAACUUUGAAAAGAGAGUGAAAAAGUACGUGAAAUUGUUGAAAGGGAAGGGCUUGAGAUCAGACUUGGUAUUUUGUGUUCCUUAUUCUUUUUGGAUUUGGUUCCUCACAGCUUACCGGGCCAGCAUCGGUUUGGAUGGUAGGAUAAUGACAUUGGAAUGUAGCUUUGCUUCGGUGAAGUGUUAUAGACUUUGUUGAUACUGCCUAUCUAGACCGAGGACUGCGUCUUGACU